rnacentral:hammerhead_ribozyme from 1 species
AUCCAGCUGACGAGUCCCAAAUAGGACGAAACGCGUGUCCUGGUU